UCGAUGGCAGCGGAGCCACACGCUGAGCCGUCUGCGUUCAGCUUAAAGCACUUAUCGAGCGUUUGUGCGUUCAUGGUCAGAUCAGCCCUGCCUUGUUUACGCUCACUGCUCCUCGCUGGCCUCCAAAUGUACCGUGGUCCAGGUCCUCUAGCAGACUUUUCUUUAAUGCCAACAAAAACUUCAUAAGCUUCUAUUCAUAAGCAGCACAUUUCCAGCUACUCAACGAGUAACAGUCGGUAUUCGUUCAAGAUGCUUCUCAUCAUAUGAGUGAACACAGUGAUUGUGUCAGAGUUUAGGGAAAAUCAUCAAAACUUUUUUCACUUUUCGAAUACAUUUUGAAAUGUAGAGGAUCCUGGUUUUCUAAAAGUUUGGGCUUUUAUUCUGAAAGAGGGUUGCAGCGCUGAACUGUUGGGAAUCAAAUCCAAACUUUAUUUCUGUGGCACUUUUCCGACUCAAAGGGUUUUACAGAAAAACAAAAUCAAAUUUGAAAAACAAAAGCCAUUAAACAAAUACUUAGUGUAAAAGCCAUCCAAUAAUCUAGAUUCUUCUCUUAUUAUAAUCUAAAAAUUUCUCUUUUUUCUCUCUCCUCCCCCUCUCUGAUUCAAUCAUAGGCGUUCUCCUCCGUCACGUGUCUUAAACACAAACGCUGUUUUCUUAUGCUGACCGCUAAAGGAAAGGAAAAACAAGACUCUUUGGACAGUUUUUUUGUGCAGAAAAGAGUCGGAAGGAAACAAGAAGAAAAGAAAUUUCCAUUUAACAAAAUAAAAAACCGUUCUAGUUUGAACUGGAAAUAUGGAUUUCUUGCUGCAGUUGUUCCGUCCCACCAAACCCACUCUGUAGAAUAUUCUGCAGCUGCCUCUGUUGUUAAGAAGAUGGGGCUAAUAAAGUUUCAAACAUGGUGGACUCUUCUUUAUUAUCAUGUAUUUAUAAAAAUGUUCUCAGUCGUAUUCAUCCGUUGAGGCGAGGCUAAGCGGGGCGGUUCUUAUCUUCUGGUUUGACUGUGUUGUGAAGGCUCAGCCCAUUGUUGAUGACAUCACAGGAAGUGAUGCCGAGUUCCUUUUCUUCUUCGGUGGUUUUUCUGGAUUUGUUGAGCUAGUUCCUGCUUCCAUGUGCUCUGGACCAGCAGCAGAGAGAGAGACUUAAGUUGCCAAAAAACCUUGUCUAACACCACAGUUCAUUCCAGUUGCUGUAUUUCAAUAUUAAGUAACUGAGAAAACGUAAGUGUUUGAAUCCAUUGUUUUAUAUGCUUCGCUCGUUUUAUUCGUGCAGUUAUUUUUCUCGGCCGCUAGGUGUCACUGUUGUAACUGUUUCUAUGAGGUUUAAAGCAAAUCUGAUUAUAUAUUUAUAUAUUUUGCCUAUUCUGGAGGUUGCCAAUUUACCUAUCAUUUUGCCUAUUUGGAGUUUAUUUCAUAAUGACAUACUGAGUCAGUUUUCUUGUUUUAUGUAAUUUAUGUAUUUACAGCAGGGCUAUUUGUGUUAUUUAUUUAGUGAUGAGAGGAUUUUUGUUGUUUACAGACUAAAUUGGAAUAUUCAGCAAAGGAAUAAAUGCAGAACGUCUGACAAGUGGAGUCACCUCUCCUUUUUCCUCCUCCCUGUGUCCUGACCGAUACCCCAUCUUGUUUACGGUUAAACUCCUAACCCGAAUCAGCAAUACAGUCCUCCUUCCUCACAGUCCUCCCCAACAUUCUGGUCCUUCGAGCCGGAUUAACAGUACUCAAGAUGGAUCUCGCAGAAGAGAUGCACCCUGAUGUAAGGCCCAAGAGACAGUUUCGACGUCCUGUCAGUCUUCAAGAUUAUGAAGUAGAUUAUGUGGGAUAUCAGCCAAGAGAUCUACCACAGUGGAGCUCACCACCGCCACUGAGGACUCUCGCCCCCCUGCAAGAGGACCCAGCCCAGAUGAGUUUCUUCCAACCACCUCAAGCUCCCUCAGGAAGCUUCAUGGAGAAUGCUGCUCACUCCGAGACGCCUCAGCUAGCCCCAAGCUGCUUCCAGAGGAGAAAUAGGGGAUGGGAAACGCUGUCUGCACCCACACGCUCAUACCAGGCUGGACCACACCACGGCCCCCACUUCUCUGCAGAGAUCAGAGCUAUUCAAGAGGAGAAUGCCAAGCUGCUUCAGUCACAACAGUGGAUCCAGUCGGGCUUAAAGGACCUGCACGAAGCUCGAAGCGAGAUCAAAGAGCUAAUCAAUGUCGCUCGGACACUGAAAUCAGAAAUUGCUCAGUCCCACAGUCCAGCUCAACAUCUCAGAGUUGAAGUUCCCCAGAUAUCCUUUCCUAAGCUAGAACCUCAGGAGGAGAGUGAUUGGCCUGAUCCUCCCCCCUGGCCUGAACCUGAAGAAGACCUGCAGCAGGAUAUGAAGCAGCUAAAGAUUGAAGGGGCAAGUAACCAAGCAUAUUACUCUUUUAGAGACUCUGAUAAUUCCCCCCAGUGGCCUCCUCCUCCUCCACCACAUAUACCACUGGCUGCAGCCUCUGUAAAUACAAAGCAGUCAUUCUUUCAGCCAACUCAGCCCCCAUCUCCAGCUAUGAGGGCAGCACCACGCAUUCAGCCUGCUAACCCCCACAUGCCACCUGCAGUACCUGAACAGCUCUAUAGAGGUCCUCAACCUACCAUUCCUAAGUUCACAAAUCCAGACCCCAGUGAGUUUGCCAGGCUCCGCAUAGCCCUAGAGAACCUGCUUCCUGCUAACACCACCGAACUGUUCAGAUACCAAGUAUUAGUAGACCACCUUAAGCUGGAAGAAGCCAGGCUUAUAGCGGAUGCUUAUCUGAACUCUCCAACCCCCUACACCGACACACUGGCAGCUCUCCAUGAUAAGUUUGGCCAACCCCAUCAACUUGCCCUCAGAAAGAUAGCCAGUGUUCUCGAUGCACCGAAAGUGAAGCGUGGAGAUAUUGCUGCAUUUCAGAAGUUUGCCCUCCAAAUACAGUCUCUGGUGGGGCUGCUGCAAACCUUGGGCCCUGAAGGUGAAGUUGAACUGAACUGUGGAUCACACGUUGCACGUCUCCUCAGCAAGCUUCCACCUGAACAGUGUGCUGAUUUCCGCAGACACCAGUUUAAGCAGGCAGGAACCAGCCACACCUUAAUUGACCUGUCAGAGUGGUUACGCUAUGAGUCCUGGUGUCAAGGGUUUGACAACCAAACCACUCCAAAGACUUCCAGAGACAGGCCGAGCAUGAAGAACGAGACUCGUACAGCCAAACAAAGUGUGAUGGUCCUCCAUGGCGCUGGUGAGUCAAAACCAACCUUGUCAUCUAAAGCUGGUUACAUGAAAGAGAAGUUUAAGAGUAAAGUGUACUGCGCCUAUUGUGACAGCAAUGAACAUUAUCUCAGUCAGUGUGGUGAAGUUGCCAAACUCUCCAAAGAGCAGCUAAAAGACUGGAUUCAAGUCAAUAGGCGUUGCUGGCGUUGUGCACGAACCCACCUUGCUGCUCAGUGCACAUUAAAGAAACCUUGCAGCUUGUGCAAUGGAAAGCAUCUCCUGCCCCUUCAUGAGAUUAAUGCAAAGACUGAAAGAGUUUCUCAUGAAGUAGCCAAACAAGAAAGCUGCUUAACCAGCUCUGCCUCCAACACCCUCUACUUAGAUCGACCAGGAGCAGGAAGCCGAGUCAUGCUGAAGGUGGUUCCCAUCCUCAUCCAUUAUGGUGGACGGACCCUGAGCGCAUUUGCAAUUCUGGAUGAUGGGUCUGAAAGGUCCAUGCUGCUACCAACAGCAGCCAAAGCUCUGGGCAUUAAGGGGACACCUGAAGAUCUUCCUCUCCGCACAGUCAGACAGGAUAUUCAGGUCCUGCAUGGAUAUGGUGUGACCUUCCACAUCUCCUCAGUGGCUCGGCCUCACACCAGCUACAAGAUUGAGGGUGCCUUUACAGCUAACCAUCUCAGCCUAGCCCAGCACACCUAUCCCAUUGAACGCCUGCAGAAGAAGUUCAGCCACCUACGUGGUCUUCCUAUCCCUGCUCUUAGAGAUGCAGAACCGUUCCUCCUUAUCGGUUCUGACCAGCCUCACCUCAUCACACCAAUUGAGCCAGUCAGACUCGGUCCCCCCGGCAGCCCAGCAGCAGUUCACACAAGACUAGGGUGGACCCUCCAAGGCCCAGUUCACCUGACGGGGCGGCCUACCAAUGCAGUGCAGUGCCUGUUUACCUCAUCCCCACCAAAGUUUGAAGAGCUUUACAAGCAUGUGGAGAGGCUCUGGCAAAUGGACACCGUGCCGUACCGACCUGAAAAGGAAGUUGUUCGCUCCAAACAGGACCAACAGGCUGUGGACAUGCUCGAAGCCAAUACAAUCCGCACAGAGGUGAACGGCAUCAACAGAUAUGCCACCCCAUUACUGCGCCACCCAGACAUGCCACUGCUAGCUGCACCCAAGGACUCUGUCUUGGCUCUGCUGCGCAGCACAGAGAGACGCCUUCUGAGGAACCCAGAACAAGCUGAGGUGUACAAGAAAGAAAUAAAGAAACUCAUAGAUGCAGGUGCUGUGAAGGAAGUCCCUCAAGAAACCUUUCACCAAGAGGAGUGGUACAUUCCCCAUCAUCUUGUUAGCCACAAUGGGAAAUCCCGGCUGGUUUUCAACUGCUCUCAUGAGUACCAUGGACAGUCCCUGAAUCAGUUCCUCCUACCGGGCCCCACCCUCGGGGCUUCAUUGCUUGGAGUCCUGUUAAGAUUUCGAGAGCACCCCAUUGCAGUUAGUGGUGACAUCAAAGGGAUGUUCCACCAGGUCCGCCUCCUUCCUGGCGAUCGCCCCCUCCUCAAGUUCCUGUGGCGGGACCUACGAGUGGAUGAACCUCCGAGAGUUUUUGAGUGGCAGGUCCUUCCCUUUGGAACAACAUGCAGCCCCUGCUGUGCCACUUAUGCUCUUCAACGCCUCGUCGCAGAUCAGAGCCAUCCCAUUGAGGACCUGAAGUUUUCAGUGGAAAAUUGCUUCUACGUUGAUAACUGCUUACAGAGUCUGGACUCAUCAGAGGAAGCCAAGUCCCUCGUGGAUCGUCUAAGAGCCCUCCUAGCAUCAGCAGGCUUUGAUUUACGCCAGUGGGCCUGCAACGAUGCAAGUGUACUCAGCCACUUACCUCAAGAUGCCAGAUCUGAGAGCCUGGAGCUGUGGCUCGCACAAGAUAAGUCAGAUCCACAAGAAUCUACCCUUGGCCUCAGUUGGAACUGGGAGACAGACACCCUGGGCUACAAACAUAGGUCCGUGACCUAUGAGAAACCAACUCUCAGGAACAUCUACAAAGUCCUAGCAUCACAGUAUGAUCCCUUAGGUUAUCUGUUGCCCUACACCACCCGCGCAAAGCUCAUCAUUCGGCAGUUAUGGGACAAGAAACGUGGUUGGGACGACUCCAACCUGCCCUCAGAACUACUUCAAGCCUGGACCAGUUGGGAGGCAGAGCUUCAGUUUCUACCUCUGCUGUCUCUCCCACGGCCUUAUGUGCCUGUAAGUACAACCUCAGGAGAAACCACGCACCAAGUCCACAUUUUUGCGGAUGCCUCUGAGCAAGCCUACGGAGCAGUGGCCUACCUGCGAACUCAAGACAGCAACGGUGAGGUACACCUGUCCUUCAUUCUUGCACGAUCACGAGUGGCUCCUAAGCGCGUCCAAUCGAUUCCCCGUCUGGAACUCUGCGCUGCCCUCACAGCUGCCCAACUAGCUCAUGUCCUGGAGAAAGAACUCACCAGGACAGUGAAUCAGAUGGUGUUAUGGUCCGACUCCACAACAGUUUUAACCUGGCUGCAAUCACAAUCCUGUCGCUAUAAGGUCUUUGUCGGAGGAAGAGUAGCCGAGAUCCAAGAGCUCACAAAGAAUGGUACCUGGCGCUAUGUGGAUUCAGUCAACAAUCCGGCGGAUGACCUGACCAGAGGGAAACCCCUGAGAGCCCUCACAGAGCAUAAUAGGUGGUCACAAGGACCUCCUUUUCUUCUCCAAGACCCAGACACCUGGCCAGAGAGACCUAGCACAGAGCCACAGGAAGACUCUACAGAGCUUCGGAAAACUGCCUACUGUGGUUUAGCAGUUACUUCACCAAGCAGCCAAAAUGCUACUGUUUACAAGACCUGGCAGGAGUGCAUCGAGGCUAAAGUCCAUGCCCUCCAUGCAUCGAGCCCGUCAGAUUCUCCUCCGAUCGCCGAAGAGUAUCGCCAAGCGGAGAAACUUGUCAUACAGCAGGCACAACAAGAGUCUUUCCCAGAGGACUACAAACUGUUAGCAGCAGGGAAGUCAGUCUCAUCUAGCAGCCGCUUACUUACCCUCUCUCCUGAGCUGGACCAGUCAUCAGGCCUAAUAAGAGUAGGUGGUCGGCUGCGUCGGUUAGAGGGCCUUAGUGACUUAACGUUGCACCCGAUCGUCCUAGAUCCGACACAUCCAGUUACGCUGCUGCUGAUUAAAAGGUACGACCAAGACCUCCACCAUCCAGGUCCAGAGCGGGUCUUUGCGGAGUUGCGGAGAUCAUUCUGGAUAUUACGUGGCAGGGAGGCCAUCCGCAAAUACCAACACACCUGUGUGGAAUGCCGGCGCUGGAGGGCCAGACCAGCCAUCCCUAAAAUGGCAGACCUGCCAGCUGCUCGCCUAAGAAUAUUCAAGCCAGCUUUUUACUCCACUGGUGUGGAUUGUUUCGGUCCAAUGCUGGUUAAAGUGGCUAGACGCCAUGAAAAGCGUUGGGGAAUAAUCUUCAAGUGUCUGACAACCAGAGCAGUGCACCUGGAUCUCCUGAGAAGCAUGGACGUGGACGCCUACCUCAUGGCCCUAAGAAGAUUCAUCGCCAGACGUGGGACACCAGCGGAGAUUUGGUCUGAUCGGGGGACCAACUUCAAAGGUGGAGAAUGUGAACUCAAGGAGGCCUUUACAAGCAUGGAACCUGCCCUACAGCAACAGCUUGCUCAGCAGAAAAUUAGGUUUCACUUCAACCCACCAGCAGCUCCACAUUUUGGUGGUGUGUGGGAGCGGGAAAUUCGUUCUGUGAAGACGGCCCUAUACACAUCUGUUGGAGCCCAACCAGUCUACGAGGAAGUGCUUCUUACUGUGCUCUUGGAGGUGGAGAUGAUCCUUAACUCUAAACCUCUGGGCUACGUCUCUGCGGACGUGGCAGACAUUGACCCUGUGACACCUAACAGUCUCCUGAUGGGGCGGCCUGACGGAUCGCUGCCUCAGGUGGUCUAUCCAGACACUGAGAUCCUGAGUCAGAGACGUUGGCGGCACUCACAGGUGCUCGCCGACCACUUUUGGGCAAGAUUCCUUCGGGAAUACCUCCCCACCUUGCAGACCAGGCAGAAAUGGCAUUCAGCCACCCCAGAACUCUACAUGGGUGCAGUGAUCAUGUUAGUUGAUUCUCAGCUGCCCCGAGCUUCCUGGCCCAUAGGAAGAGUUGUUAAGAUUCAUCAGAGUGAUGAUGGACACAUCCGGUCGGCUGAUGUUGAGAUAAAUGGACAUGUGUACACCCGACCCGUUGCUCGUUUAGUUUUGUUACCUGCAUUGCCAUCUGGGGAAGAUUAGUUUCAGUUUGCACUUUAUGUUUAUUUGAAGCAAAUGUGCCUUGCACAUUUGGGGGCGGCUGUUGUGAAGGCUCAGCCCAUUGUUGAUGACAUCACAGGAAGUGAUGCCGAGUUCCUUUUCUUCUUCGGUGGUUUUUCUGGAUUUGUUGAGCUAGUUCCUGCUUCCAUGUGCUCUGGACCAGCAGCAGAGAGAGAGACUUAAGUUGCCAAAAAACCUUGUCUAACACCACAGUUCAUUCCAGUUGCUGUAUUUCAAUAUUAAGUAACUGAGAAAACACUAAAUUGGAAUAUUCAGCAAAGGAAUAAAUGCAGAACGUCUGACAAGUGGAGUCACCUCUCCUUUUUCCUCCUCCCUGUGUCCUGACCGACACCCCAUCUUGUUUACGGUUAAACUCCUAACCCGAAUCAGCAAUACAGUCCUCCUUCCUCACAGUCCUCCCCAACAGACUGUU